GCCUUCCCUCCCAGCAGCAAAAGCAGUCAGAGGACAAUGUUCCCUAGUCUAAUCUGCUCUUUCCUUCCUUCAUUCAUUCAGUCAUUCACUCAGCUGGCCAGCAAACACUGGAUGACCACACCUGGGCCAGGCCUUGUGGCAAAUGCUACAGUAAUGACCAGACACAUCACACCCGCCUUCUAGAAGCCCUCCCUCACAAACCGGAUCAACUGCUAUGAUAAAGAAGAACCCACCCAGGUAAUCACUGCUUGCUCAGAUCCCAGCAAAUUCUAGAUCCCAGAACUAGUGCUCUUAGAGCCAAGGCCAGCCGAUCCAAGUCUGGACCACUGCUCAGAUGAGCCAAGCCUGAAUUUGGGAGUGGUCGCGUUACAGAGCAUUACCCUGGCAAUAACUGACUGAUGCAGAGAUGUAAAUAGACAUCACUGGUGGAGCCCCCAGGAAAGCUCUUUAACAGAAGACAGACUCAGCUGGCAGGUUUUUUGCCCCUUUCCCUUCUCUUCCCUUGAAUGAAGACAGGCUCAAUGCUUGGAGGGGUGAGAGGAGGCAGCCGUCUUACAACCACAGGUCACAGGAAGACACUAAACAAGGCCGUGUGGAAAGACAGAAGGAGCCUCCAUCCCUCAGCACCACAGAGACAUUGUAUCAGCCUGGAAAUGCCUAAAUCUGAACUUCCUCUUACCUAAGAAAAAUAAAACCUCAAUUU
rnacentral:antisense_RNA from 1 species